ensembl:snoRNA
GUGCAUCUAUUUGACAGACCUGAAGCAGUUAACAGUCUGCUUCUAAGGUUUCUACUACAGAUGCAAGAAAAAAGUUUCCUUGCGCUUUCUGUCUGUCUUAUUGUGGCAGCCAAGAUUGAAUAAAGGAAUACAGAG